rnacentral:misc_RNA from 1 species
AAUUUUUGACAUGAUUUGUUAAUUGUGUCGUGUUCAUAUCGACCUUAAUCGUAUUCAUAUCACGUGUUGACAUGACACGAACACGACACAUCAACUCGAAUUGACACCCCUACUGCUUAAAUUUUACUAAUUAAUAUUCUCUGAAGAAGCAUAUAUAUAUAUAAAGUACAUUGAACUCUCAAACCCAUCACUUCGUUAAACUAAAAAAGCCCCCAAUUUUCACUUACUUUUCCUGCCCUUUUCUGUUAACGAAACCUCUCAAUCAGACUUGAGAGCAGUUUCUGAAGUAUCUGCCCUUGAAACUAAACUGAACUUGUUUCUCCAAUCACCAAAUAACCUAUUUAACCUCAACUUUUACCAACACUAGAUCAAAGGUUUGCGCAUCAUAAAAGAGUUGGUUGGCAGAUUUCGCAACUAGUCAGAGAUAACAAACAUAUUUUAGUAUCUCUCAGACACAAAUCAGUCAUGUAUACCUAUUCACAAUUGUUUUUUAAUAUUCGCAUACAAAUAUUCCCAAAUUAUCCAUUUAAACGGCAUAAAAUCCACAAGAUGUGAAGCCUAUUCCCGAAGGAAGCAAGAAAAUUUUAUCAAAGAAAUGGAGAAAUAGAGGACAAUCCAAAACACCAGACAAAAACCAUAAGCAAAGAAAUAAGAAGCCUUACUACAAAAGACAAUUCACUAUCUUAUGCAAUGAAGUGACUGCUAUCAUAAAUUGCUCCAGUUCAAUAAGCACCACAUACAUUUCCGUUUAAAAAUGAGUCAAUAAUGGGAAAGAGGGGAAAAAAAAUAAAGGAGAUAAAUUAAUAAAGAAAAGAAAACAAUAAAAAAUAAUGGGCAAGAACCAGAAGAAGAAUCGAAGAAGGUAUAAUUUUUGCUGGAUAUUCUGCUUUAAGUAAAUACAACGGUUUUAACGUAAAAUCCAGUGACUAAGGCCCUAGUGGUUGCUGGUUCCUAGUGUGACAAAAUCAACCAAAUGGCAGGGGCCAUGAUCCAAGUAGCUAUUGCAACCCUAGAUGGCAUGGUUCUAACAAUAGAAUUUGAGCAGAGCUGAAGGGAUUAAUUCAAGCUGGAUAAGACUCGAAGGAGAAAGAACAGACAAUUAGAGAGAGAGCGAAGGAAAAAACAGAUUUCAAAAAGGGAGACACUCCAAAAUAUCAAAAAAUUCCCCUCUAAUUUUCGUGAAGAGAAGUAAAUCAAAUGCAAAGUAGUACACCAACAAUUAAUAAGCAAAUCAAAGUACUGUUUGUGAAAUCUAAAAGGUACAAAUGAAAUGGAUUGUAGUCACCACUUCUAGACGCUAACACUGACCAGAAGAGACCUAGAGAGGAAGUGCAUCAAACAAUUGCAAGCCAACAAAACCGUCGCCUGCAGCUAAUCCAUUGCAGGUGGCAAUAUUGUGAUGACGUACAUAAACUAAAUACUUAAAACAAUUAAGGAUUGAUUUCAUUCUUUAAAAACGUACUCAUUGCUUGAGAACUCAAAGAGCCUUCCUCUCUGUGAAAAGAUUAGCACUGCAACUUCUGCAUCGCAUAGAACGGAUAGCUCAUAAGCUUUCUUCAAAAGUCCAUUUCUCCGCUUCGAGAAGGUCACUUGUCGGCUUGCGGCAUUUUCGAUCCUCUUCAUCUGAAUCUUUCCUCUCACCAUUUCCAAAGAUUAAGGCAGAAACCCCAGAAAUCCUGCGAUUGCUCUAAAGAAAUCUAGCUCUACCCUUCUUUUACAAGACCAGCAGAACGGCUAAAAAUGCUUUAGCGAGCUCAAAAUAUCAAAAUUUGACAAGAAUAGUACACACCCAGAAAUGAUCUACAGAACUAACUACAAUACAAAAAUCACCCACCCGGAUAUGGAAAAUUCCGUUACAGUAAAAAAAAGAUGACGAAGCAAAGAAAAUAUAUCAAGUAUUUAAACAGCAAAUGGCAACCAGUGAUUAGGAAAGGAACUAAAUACAAAGGAGGUACAGUAGAAAAGAAAAGAAGUUGCAAACAGAAAACCCUAGAAAGAUUCACUCAACAAAACCACCCCAGAGUUGUUUACACAGAGAUUGACAUAUCAGGGUGUUUAUUUUCAUAGCAUAAAACCCUAGAUAAUCAAGAUCUCUUCGCGGAAAAGAGCAUAUAUUAUUUGCAAAAUUUAGAAAAAGCAAAAGGGGAAGAGACCAUAUUAAUAAGAAUGACAUCAAGAAACUGGAAAGCUCAUUGUUUAGUCUGUUUUGGUAAAUUUAAGAAAAAAAAUUGAAAAUAAAAAGAUA